AUGAGGCGAACCGGGGGAACUGAAACAUCUCAGUACCCCGAGGAAAAGAAAUCAACCGAGAUUCCCCCAGUAGCGGCGAGCGAACGGGGAGGAGCCCAGAACCUGAAUCAGUUUGUGUGUUAGUGGAAGCGUCUGGAAAGUCGCACAGUAAAGGGUGAUAGUCCCGUACACAAAAAUGCACAAGUUGUGAGUUCGAUGAGUAGGGCGGGACACGUGACAUCCUGUCUGAAUAUGGGGGGACCAUCCUCCAAGGCUAAAUACUCCUGACUGACCGAUAGUGAACCAGUACCGUGAGGGAAAGGCGAAAAGAACCCCGGCGAGGGGAGUGAAAUAGAACCUGAAACCGUGUACGUACAAGCAGUGGGAGCCUACUUGUUAGGUGACUGCGUACCUUUUGUAUAAUGGGUCAGCGACUUAUAUUCUGUAGCAAGGUUAACCGUAUAGGGGAGCCGCAGGGAAACCGAGUCUUAACUGGGCGUUAAGUUGCAGGGUAUAGACCCGAAACCCGGUGAUCUAGCCAUGGGCAGGUUGAAGGUUGGGUAACACUAACUGGAGGACCGAACCGACUAAUGUUGAAAAAUUAGCGGAUGACUUGUGGCUGGGGGUGAAAGGCCAAUCAAACCGGGAGAUAGCUGGUUCUCCCCGAAAGCUAUUUAGGUAGCGCCUCGUGAAUUCAUCUUCGGGGGUAGAGCACUGUUUCGGCUAGGGGGUCAUCCCGACUUACCAACCCGAUGCAAACUACGAAUACCGAAGAAUGUUAUCACGGGAGACACACGGCGGGUGCUAACGUUCGUCGUGAAGAGGGAAACAACCCAGACCGCCAGCUAAGGUCCCAAAGUCAUGGUUAAGUGGGAAACGAUGUGGGAAGGCAUAGACAGCCAGGAUGUUGGCUUAGAAGCAGCCAUCAUUUAAAGAAAGCGUAAUAGCUCACUGGUCGAGUCGGCCUGCGCGGAAGAUGUAACGGGGCUAAACCAUGCACCGAAGCUGCGGCAGCGACACUUAGUGUUGUUGGGUAGGGGAGCGUUCUGUAAGCCGUCGAAGGUGGCCUGUGAGGGCUGCUGGAGGUAUCAGAAGUGCGAAUGCUGACAUAAGUAACGAUAAUGCGGGUGAAAAACCCGCACGCCGGAAGACCAAGGGUUCCUGUCCAACGUUAAUCGGGGCAGGGUGAGUCGACCCCUAAGGCGAGGCUGAAAAGCGUAGUCGAUGGGAAACAGGUUAAUAUUCCUGUACUCGGUGUUACUGCGAAGGGGGGACGGAGAAAGCUAGGUUAUCCGGGCGACGGUUGUCCCGGUUUAAGCGUGAAGGUGGAUGACUUUGGUAAAUCCGGGUCAUNAUGCUACGCUUCCAGGAAAAGCCUCUAAGCUCCAGGUAACAUCAAAUCGUACCCCAAACCGACACAGGUGGUCAGGUAGAGAAUACUCAGGCGCUUGAGAGAACUCGGGUGAAGGAACUAGGCAAAAUGGUGCCGUAACUUCGGGAGAAGGCACGCUGAUGGUAGGUGAAGUGACUUGCUCACGGAGCUGAAAUCAGUCGAAGAUACCAGCUGGCUGCAACUGUUUAAUAAAAACACAGCACUGUGCAAACACGAAAGUGGACGUAUACGGUGUGACGCCUGCCCGGUGCCGGAAGGUUAAUUGAUGGGGUCAGCCGCAAGGCGAAGCUCUUGAUCGAAGCCCCGGUAAACGGCGGCCGUAACUAUAACGGUCCUAAGGUAGCGAAAUUCCUUGUCGGGUAAGUUCCGACCUGCACGAAUGGCGUAAUGAUGGCCAGGCUGUCUCCACCCGAGACUCAGUGAAAUUGAACUCGCUGUGAAGAUGCAGUGUACCCGCGGCAAGACGGAAAGACCCCGUGAACCUUUACUAUAGCUUGACACUGAACCUUGAGCCUUGAUGUGUAGGAUAGGUGGGAGGCUUUGAAGCGUGGACGCCAGUCUGCGUGGAGCCAACCUUGAAAUACCACCCUUUAAUGUUUGAUGUUCUAACGUGGACCCGUAAUCCGGGUUGCGGACAGUGUCUGGUGGGUAGUUUGACUGGGGCGGUCUCCUCCCAAAGCGUAACGGAGGAGCACGAAGGUUAGCUAAUCCUGGUCGGACAUCAGGAGGUUAGUGCAAAGGCAUAAGCUAGCUUGACUGCGAGAGUGACAGCUCGAGCAGGUGCGAAAGCAGGUCUUAGUGAUCCGGUGGUUCUGAAUGGAAGGGCCAUCGCUCAACGGAUAAAAGGUACUCCGGGGAUAACAGGCUGAUACCGCCCAAGAGUUCAUAUCGACGGCGGUGUUUGGCACCUCGAUGUCGGCUCAUCACAUCCUGGGGCUGAAGUAGGUCCCAAGGGUAUGGCUGUUCGCCAUUUAAAGUGGUACGCGAGCUGGGUUUAGAACGUCGUGAGACAGUUCGGUCCCUAUCUGCCGUGGGCGUUGGAAGAUUGAGAGGGGUUGCUCCUAGUACGAGAGGACCGGAGUGAACGCACCACUGGUGUACGGGUUGUGAUGCCAAUUGCAUUGCCCGGUAGCUAAGUGCGGAAGAGAUAACCGCUGAAAGCAUCUAAGCGGGAAACUUGCCUCGAGAUGAGUCUUCCCUGGGUACUUGAUNCCCCUGAAGGGCCGUUGAAGACGACGACGUAGAUAGGCUGGGUGUGUAAGCGUAGCGAUACGUUGAGCUAACCAGUACUAAUGACCCGAGAGGCUUAACCUUACAACACCGAAGGUGUUU
rnacentral:rRNA from 1 species